CUCGACUACAUGAAGCUGGAAUCGCUAGUAAUCGUAGAUCAGCAUGCUACGGUGAAUACGUUCCCGGGUCUUGUACACACCGCCCGUCACACCACGAGAGUUUGUAACACCCGAAGCCGGUGGAGUAUAACCAUUUUGGAGCUAGCCGUCGAAGGUGGGACAAAUGAUUGGGGUGAAGUCGUAACAAGGUAGCCGUAUCGGAAGGUGCGGCUGGAUCACCUCCUUU
rnacentral:rRNA from 1 species